CCCUACGGGGCGCAGCAGUGAGGAAUAUUGGUCAAUGGGCGGGAGCCUGAACCAGCCAAGCCGCGUGAGGGAAGAAGGUACAGCGUAUCGUAAACCUCUUUUGUCAGGGAACAAAGGCGGGGACUAGUCCCCGGAUGAGGGUACCUGAAGAAAAAGCAUCGGCUAACUCCGUGCCAGCAGCCGCGGUAAUACGGAGGAUGCGAGCGUUAUCCGGAUUUAUUGGGUUUAAAGGGUGCGUAGGCGGAAGGUUAAGUCAGCGGUCAAAUGUCGGUGCUCAACACCGGCCUGCCGUUGAAACUGGUCUU
rnacentral:rRNA from 1 species